rnacentral:misc_RNA from 1 species
AACGGUCUAUACCUGCGGUACCUGCGGAAGGAUCAUUACUGAGUGAGGGCCCUCUGGGUCCAACCUCCCACCCGUGUUUAACGAACCUUGUUGCUUCGGCGGGCCCGCCUCACGGCCGCCGGGGGGCAUCCGCCCCCGGGCCCGCGCCCGCCGAAGCCACCUGUGAACGCUGUCUGAAGUUGCAGUCUGAGAAAAUUAUUAAAUUAAUUAAAACUUUCAGCAAUGGAUCUCUAGAUCGGA